CCUCCCGCGGCCCGCCGCCCCCGGGGCCCGUCCGCUCGCCGAAGCUCCCGGUCCCUACGUGUGACCCCUGACCCUCGCCCCGGAAGUCGAGGUGGCUCGGAAGUUCCGGCUCGGUCGCUAGGAAACGGGUCAACCGACGUGCGGGGCGGGGCUUCUCGUCCGGCCGGCGGGCUAGGGGAGGCAGGUGAGGCAGGUGAGGCAGCGGGGGCGGCGUCAAGCCCGGGGCGGGGCCCGGGACCCUGCGAGCGCAGGGUGUCCCCCGCCAUACUCGGGCACCCCCUGACCUGAUGCCCUCACGGAGGACCCACCGCCGCCGCCACCCCGCACACAACACUCACAGGAAAACUAGCAGUGACAGGGGGGUCCCCAGAGCUGCACCGGGGAGGUGGCAGACAUCCCUCCCCGAAGCCAAGCCCGGAGCCCGGAGAGCCAUUGCCGGUAUGUGAGUCAAGCCUCCGAGCACCCCUACUCAGAUGCCGGCUUGUGAGACCCUCUGUGCAGCACCAAGGAUGGUCUGAGAAGACCCUUCCCUCUGAGCGUGGCUCCCAGGGGACCUCUGCGGUGGGCUUGGGAAUGGUAGACUGAGGAUUCAGAGCUCAGCGGUCCGUUCCAGACCCUGGGCGGGGACUGGGGUGCAGUGUGUGACGGAGCACGGCUUUAGGGCACGUGGAAAUGGGCUGAGGCCCAUGGGGACUGG
rnacentral:lncRNA from 1 species